AUGCGGCGGGGCCGGGGCACGGAGCUGGCUGGGCUGACCGCGCUGCUGCUGGUGGCUGCGGGCAGAGCCCAGGUGCAGCAGGAGCCGUGGGCAGAGACCACGGAGGACACCGCCAUCACUAUCAACUGCUCUCACCCCGACAUCAAGUUAACCGAGUUCAUCAACUGGUACCGUCAGUUCCCGGGCCGAGGUCCCGAGUGGCUCGUGAGCGGUCACAAAGGGUCCCAGGAGCUGCGGUCGCCGUUGGGGCGGCUGUCGGUGUCGGCAGACCGGCGGUCCAGCGGGCUGCGGCUCUCCCGGCCCCGGCGCGGGGACGCGGCCGUGUACUGGUGCGCCGUGGGAGACACGGGGAGAGGAGCCGGGGCUGCGGCCGCGCACGAACCGCCGCGGGCGGCACGGCGGGGCCGACAGGGGGCGCUGCCGCCCGCCGCUCCGGCAGCACCGGGAGAGCGACAGCGGCACCGACACAGAAACAGGGACACAGGGACACAGACAGACGGGCACAGGGACGUGGACACAGGGACAGAGUCAGGGACACGGGGACACAGACAUAGGGACACAGGGACAGUGAGACCGAUCUCGCAGGACACGGGUAGGAGAUAA